rnacentral:rRNA from 1 species
AUGAAGCACUGGGCUUAUAAGUCAUAUAAGUCGAGUACAUGCAGGAAGCACUCGGCUUUUAUGCCAUGUAAGCCGAGGUCUUUGACAGGGCACACAGCUUAUAGGCUACCGUGUGACGGCUCCGUCAGCCACCUCCGUAGCAGACACAUAGCAGAUAUCUUUGCCGACGCACCUAAACAGGCGCCCAGCAUUGAGGAGAUUCUGAAAGGGAAGAUGCUGGUGAUGGAUCUCCCUAUUAGUCCUAUCCGAGUUGGAAAGGUUAGUUUACCUUGGCCAAACCUCCUGCAGGAUGGGGGGCUCUUUCAAUCGAUGGUUCCUACGUUGAGGACACAGGACGGGCGGGUAUGGGUAUGGUACUACAGGACUCGGUGGGCAAACCUUCAAAGAUCAGAGCUACCAAUCAUCAUUCAAUCUGAUUGCCCUGUUCUGGUGGCAGCUUUAACGGAUGACUCACGGAACAAAUCUGCUCAUGGACAUCUAAUCUUGGGAAUGAGGAGGCUCCUGGAACAGCGUGAGUUUAUUCCACAAAAAUUAGAUCAACAUCAAAAUAGUGUUGCUCAUUGUCUUGCUAAUAUUGGCCGUUCUGGGGGUAGCACUGCCUGUUGGUUGCACCGUGUUCCGCAAAGUUCGCAUAGGCCUGUUGCUGAUGGAGCUAGUAGUCAUCCUUACAUCUACGUGGAUCAACACUAA